rnacentral:lncRNA from 1 species
GAGCGCUAUAGUUGACUUUGGUCAAUAUUUGUAGAUUUUGAGGUUGGAUGAUAAUUCCCUAAGUCCACCUCUUGUUCUAGCUUCUCCCGUCAUUCCAACAACAAUUCUUCUCUUUUUUGUGGUGGAUUUUUUCUCGUAUUAUAGUAGACCAGUCCGAUCUAAAAAACCGAAAAAUAGCAAAGCAAUCAUUAAUAGCAAUUCUUCAAUCAAAAAUCAAUCAAUACGACUUACUAUUACUAGCAACAAACUGUAAAAUAAUACCUCUCUGCACGUACGUACCGUAGAGACAAGGAGAACCUUAGCAAAGUUUUCUAUAGCUUCCUUCUCCUCUUUAUUGUUAUUCUGAGUUAUGAAAAGAGUGUUAAUAGUUGAUAGAUUAUUAAGAAAAUGAAUUUUUGAAUAUCAUUAAUAUGUUAUUUUUAAGCCGCGUGACAACCAAAAAUAUGAUAAGUAUUUAGGAAGAGUGAAUCUUUUAACUCAUGCAUUUAUGAUUUACCUUAGCUGCUUGAGCAACGAUUUGUUGGAACUCAGGAUAUCUGUCGGCAGCUUUAUUCAACGCAACGUUGCCAAUGGAAAGUACUGGCAUCAUGAUGAAAACAAGAGUCAGCUCGGCUCGACACUGUAAAAAGCUCGGUUGAGUUUGGCUCGAUGUCCAGGCCUACGUUGGACGAUAUGUGUCAAUGAUUUAUCAAAUGGAUGAAUAUAUAUACUGAUAGGUGAUAUAAAGUAAGAAUGAUUGGGAAUAUGGUUGGUUUCUUAUUAGAGCUGAAAAUGCUUUGAGCAUUUGUUUUUACUUUAAUAGGAACAGAAAAUGCCAAAACCCAUGACAAUCUGUCUCAUUCUAACCCUAGGGUCGUUUGGUAUGUAGACUAAAUUAUUUUGGAUCAAAUAAAGUCCUGAGAGUAUCAUUUUUGGACUAAUUUAUUUCAUAUGAGAGAUGGAAUAUAAUUAGGCUCUUAAAUAUGUUACUUCUGAAUUUUUCACUAAAAUAAUCCCAAGCUAGCGUGGGAUAUCCCAUGGGCCAGGAAUCACAUAUUACCGUAUAUGUGCCAAUGAUAAAUCUAAUGCUAUAGUACCAACUUCUACUAGUUUUUGAUUAUUAUUUUUCCCCUCCCUUGCAAUCAAUCAAUCAAUCUACUGGUGGUUAAAUUAGGAUAAUCUCAAUGUUGUGUUAGGGUAAGUAAGGUUUAAUUUACAACUUGACAGAAUAUUCAAGAUCAGCCAUGGCAUAAUUUUCUUUUCUCCAAUUUGCAGAAUCGUGAACAAAGGAACAAAAGAGUUAAAAAUAUUCUAUAUAAAAAAAUUCAAAGGAUAAAUUGUAUGAAUUUGUAAUCACCUAAGUAUAACAUGACAAGUAAUAAACUUGAAGAAUAAAUUACAAUAGGAAAGAAAGAACACCAAAAGACCUACUUUGUUUAAACAUGUUGAAUUGGUUACAGAGAUUGAAUAACCUAGGAGGAGAUUGAAUAUGAGUAGGCAGACAGGCACAACCAAAACAGGUUUGGGUUACUAAUAGGGCUCUUCUGGGUUAUGGGCUCACUACUAAUUAAGCUAACCCACACGUACCCCUAAUUUAUGUGUAAAUCGAAUUACCAUCUUUUUUUUUUAAUAGUAAAUAUUAAUCGAUGUUUUUCAAGAUAAAUGGGACUCACCUGUUUGAGAUUGAUCCGGAUGAGAGUGCCCAAUUUUCAAACUGACGUAAUAUAUAUGUUUUUGAAGAUGUGCAUAUCUUUAAGCUAGACUAGAUAUAUAUGAAUAAAUCAACUGUUCUGAUUUCGUUGGUAAAAUUCUCCGUAGUUGGUACUUAUUUAUUU